AUGAUCCCUCCGCUGGUUCACCAACGGAGACCUUGUUACGACUUU
rnacentral:rRNA from 1 species